CGCGGGGUGCAGCCUUCCUGAUGUGUCACCAGCACGUGGAGCCAGGUCGGGCUGCGCGAGCGAGCUGAACCCCCAACUUUUUGAGGGGUCUCGCUGCUCUGCUCUUGUUCCUGUUGGGCCGGCCGCGCCCCUUCGGUGACAGGGCACCGGCGGCCCUCGGGUUCGGUGCAGAGCGAACGAGUCCGGGGAGCCGGGCCAGAUACGCGCGGGCUAGCUCGGACGUCGGGGCACCGAGCCCUGAAUUGAGGCUGAGCCACCCGAGCCCUGGCGGCUGCGCGGACUCUGCUUGCGGAGGGCGUGGCUCGCGGCGGGGUGGGGGUGCCCGCGCCCCAGCCCUGCGACCCGGCCCGCACCCCUCCGAGCUGAGCGCAGGAGUGCCCUUGUGCACAGAAGGCUGCUGCUGUGCCCAGAAAGACACUCCAUGAGCAGCAGUGGUGACACACUACCCAGGAGGUCAGAUUUGGCCCUCAGCAUGGUGGAUGGCGCCUUCUAUUCUUCGUUCUACAAGGAUGACUUUUCCUGACAGUCUUCUCUGGCCUCCCAUCUGCUGGCUACUGUUAGGACGGUGGCUCUGGAUAGUGGAGUCUGAAGGCUUGCCUCUUUGCCCUGGAUUUCCCUGCGGCCCAGGCCCUCCUUCCUGGGCCAGGGGUAGGGUUCUGUAAGUCCAGACCCAGUAGCUCCAAGGCUCCUGCUGGUCCUGGGCCACAGUAACUCCUGAAGAGUGCCUUCCAUCCCUGCCAGCUGCCACAGAGUAGGCGCCCAGCACUGGCAAGAAGCACUCUCCACUUGGCUUGGCAAACAGGAAAGCAAUUGGUGCUCCCUUUGUUUUGAUUCUUGUGUCUCUAACAGCAGAGCCAGUGACAUCACAGAAAAGCAGCCUUGGGCUUGAGUGGAGUGGGAUCCAUCCCUGAUGAACCGGCUCCCACAAAGUCAUCUGGAUACGGGAAAUGUGAUGGCCCAUUUUUCUGAUGAUACCUCUCUCCACUACUCUGGAUCCCUGGGGUUCAGGCUGGGCCAGCUCUACCCACUAGCUUUAGAAGCAGACAUCUGAUCCAGGCCUGCACACAGGCUCCUGAGACUCCCCCAGAGACUUCUGCAGCAAUGUGGGGAGAGAGCUUUCUCUUACUGUGGGAGUUGCUAAGUCCACAGGGCAUAAGCUUGGUGCUGCUGAUGGCCAAUCUGCUGCCCAUUUGAGGAUGAAGCUGGCAAGAAAGAGAACUAAGAUGAAUGGGGUGUGCUGCCCAGACUUGCCUCCCGCUGCCCAGGAAGCUUCUGAAUCCAGUGGUGCUGGAAGCCAACUGUACCUCUGGACUGGCCUGAUCAUGGAAGCCAGUGCUUUUUAAAGUUUUUUUCUUUCCUUUAAAACCAGACUGA